UAAGAGGAGCAGACUGCCAGCACUUCAGGGCCUGAGUGGUUGCCAGUAAUGGUGCUUCCUCAUGACGCCGUGGAUACUCCCUGCGAAGACCUUGUUCUGGCUUUCUGGAUUUUCUCCCCUCGUGACGCCGUGGAUCGUUACCCACUGGUUGCCCGACUCUCACCUUCACCUCUUCAUAUUGAUCAGAAGCUGUACCUGGAUUUCCCAGCUGGCAGUCGGACCGCUCCUCUGUCUUCCUCCAUGCCUGAACUUACCUGUCCGCCCUCCACCGCAGCCUCAACAUCAUCACCCGGUACCAACUCGACCGAGCCCACUUUCUGGAACCUGGAUCACCUCAGAAACACACACAAAGGAACCAAAACCCUGAACCUGCAGUCUCCCCUCUCCUUGAAGGAAAUUAUCAUCACGACAAAUAAGACCAGUCUAAUUUACCUCGUAGUUCCCAUUUCUGACAACCAUAAACUCACCAUCUCCUUUUGCUGUCCUUUAGUGUGCAGACGACUCCGUGAACCUGCCCCAAGGAUCACACUCUCUCAGCCUGUCUUGUCGUAUUGUUUAAAUAAACAUCAUUUAACUGA